rnacentral:lncRNA from 1 species
UGUAAAAGUUUAAUGUAUAAACAAUUUAUGUUUAUAUCUUCCGCAAUAGUGAUAGAAAUAGUAUACCGGAUCCGUGGCGAUUUGGGACCCGGAUUCGGGGAUGCUACAGUUGGUAUCAAAGCUGUAGGUUAUAAACCUUAGGUAGGUGUACCUUAGGCUAUAACCACAAAGAUGAUAAGUAAUAAACUCAAAUAGAGUUUAAGCGAUAAGAGGUGAAUUUAUGGUAAUUCAU